rnacentral:rRNA from 1 species
GAUGAACGCUGGCGGCGUGCCUAAUACAUGCAAGUCGAGCGAACAGACGAGGAGCUUGCUCCUCUGACGUUAGCGGCGGACGGGUGAGUAACACGUGGAUAACCUACCUAUAAGACUGGGAUAACUUCGGGAAACCGGAGCUAAUACCGGAUAAUAUAUUGAACCGCAUGGUUCGAUAGUGAAAGACGGUUUUGCUGUCACUUAUAGAUGGAUCCGCGCCGCAUUAGCUAGUUGGUAAGGUAACGGCUUACCAAGGCAACGAUGCGUAGCCGACCUGAGAGGGUGAUCGGCCACACUGGAACUGAGACACGGUCCAGACCCCUACGGGAGGCAGCAGUAGGGAAUCUUCCGCAAUGGGCGAAAGCCUGACGGAGCAACGCCGCGUGAGUGAUGAAGGUCUUCGGAUCGUAAAACUCUGUUAUUAGGGAAGAACAAAUGUGUAAGUAACUAUGCACGUCUUGACGGUACCUAAUCAGAAAGCCACGGCUAACUACGUG